rnacentral:rRNA from 1 species
AAUAGAUACCCGGGUAGUCCACGCCGUAAACGAUGGAUACUAGGUGUGGGAGGUAUCGAACCCUUCCGUGCCGCAGUAAACGCAAUAAGUAUCCCGCCUGGGGAGUACGGCCGCAAGGUUGAAACUCAAAGGAAUUGACGGGGGCCCGCACAAGCAGCGGAGCAUGUGGUUUAAUUCGAAGCAACGCGAAGAACCUUACCAGAACUUGACAUCUCCUGCAUUACCCGUAAUUGGGGAAGUCCUUCGGGACAGGAAGACGGGUGGUGCAUGGUUGUCGUCAGCUCGUGUCGUGAGAUGUUGGGUUAAGUCCCGCAACGAGCGCAACCCUUAUUGUUAGUUGCCAUCAUUUAGUUGAGCACUCUAAUGAGACUGCCGGGGACAACUCGGAGGAAGGUGGGGAUGACGUCAAAUCAUCAUGCCCCUUAUGUUCUGGGCUACACACGUGCUACAAUGGGCGCAACAACGGGAAGCAAGCUAGUGAUAGUGAGAAAAUCCCUAAAAAUCGCUCUCAGUUCAGAUUGUAGGCUGAAACUCGCCUAC